CAUCACUACGCUAGAUGCAUAUCAAUAAGCGGAGGAAAAGAAACUAACAAGGAUUCCCUUAGUAACGGCGAGUGAAGCGGGAAGAGCUCAAAUUUGAAAUCUUCAAGGUUUGACCUUGACGAAUUGUAGUUUAAAGAAGUGUUUUCUGUUGAAGUUUCGGUAAAAGUUCUUUGGAAUAGGACAUCAUAGAGGGUGAGAAUCCCGUAUUUGACCGUUACUUUCCAGCUGUGUGAUACACUUUCAAAGAGUCGGAUUGUUUGGGAAUGCAGUCCAAAAUGGGUGGUAAAUUUCAUCUAAAGCUAAAUAUUGGCGAGAGACCGAUAGCGAACAAGUACCGUGAGGGAAAGAUGAAAAGAACUUUGAAAAGAGAGUUAAACAGUACGUGAAAUUGUCAAAAGGGAAGCGUUUGACACCAGUGUUGUUUAGUUGAAAAUCAAUUCAAUAAUUUUUGAUUUUGAGUAGUAUUGACUUCAUCAGCUUGCUGCUUUCUUUUCCGAAAUUAUUGAAUGCACUUUUCAGUUAACAAGUCAACAUCAAUUUCUUUUGUUGUAAAAGGGUAAGAGGAAGGUGGCUUACGCUUCGGCGUAAGUGUUUAUAGCCUUUUACCUCUGCAACCGGAGAGAUUGAGGACAGCAGCGUAGACUCCUUCGGGGGUUAGAUACACUUGUGCUAAGCUAUGGCCUUGUAUAGACAACUUGUUGACUAUGCUCAGUCAUGUAGCUUACUCGCUUGUGCUAUUUUACCUACGCUUAGGAUGUUGAUAUGCAUGACUGAUAU
rnacentral:rRNA from 1 species